GCCAUUGCCAAACCGCCGCCGCCCCCCUAUAUCCCCGAGUGCCGGAGGGGUUCGCCCCUUGGCUAUGGCGAUAAACGGCACGUGGAAUAAGUGUUGUGGACCCGGGGGCAGUACCCGGCGUCUCCACCAGAUCCUUCCGGUUCGGCUCCGCGCGGGGCCGGGGGCUAUGGGGACGAAACAGGCUCGACACGCAUGGUAAAGACCUGCCUUUUGCCCGGCAUUGUACCACCGUCAUCGGGCUGAAUCACAAGUGCCAACGAUAACUUCGAGGCGCUCGCUGUCGCUGCAUAAGUGACAAGCGCGGUUCGGGAGGCACCGGGCAACAGAAGCCUCCCACU
rnacentral:tmRNA from 1 species